CUGGAGAUGAGCGCUUGGGAGGCUGCUGCGGCCCCGGCGGUGAGGGUCUGGCUUGGUGGGGAAGGAGCAGGGAACGGAGGAGCAAGCAGCCAUGUUGGCCGCUG